rnacentral:rRNA from 1 species
GAUGAACGCUGGCGGCGUGCCUAAUACAUGCAAGUCGAGCGAACGGACGAGAAGCUUGCUUCUCUGAUGUUAGCGGCGGACGGGUGAGUAACACGUGGAUAACCUACCUAUAAGACUGGGAUAACUUCGGGAAACCGGAGCUAAUACCGGAUAAUAUUUUGAACCGCAUGGUUCAAAAGUGAAAGACGGUCUUGCUGUCACUUAUAGAUGGAUCCGCGCUGCAUUAGCUAGUUGGUAAGGUAACGGCUUACCAAGGCAACGAUGCACAGCCGACCUGAGAGGGUGAUCGGCCACACUGGAACUGAGACACGGUCCAGACUCCUACGUGAGGCAGCAGUAGGGAAUCUUCCGCAAUGGGCGAAAGCCUGACGGAGCAACGCCGCGUGAGUGAUGAAGGUCUUCGGAUCGUAAAACUCUGUUAUUAGGGAAGAACAUAUGUGUAAGUAACUGUGCACAUCUCGACGGUACCUAAUCAGAAAGCCACGGCUAACUACGUG